rnacentral:rRNA from 1 species
UUCGGAUCGGAGUCUGCAACCCGACUCCGUGAAGCUGGAUUCGCUAGUAAUCGCGCAUCAGCCACGGCGCGGUGAAUACGUUCCCGGGCCUUGUACACACCGCCCGUCAAGCCAUGGGAGCCGGGGGGUGCCUGAAGUCCGUGACCGCAAGGGGCGGCCUAGGGUAAAACCGGUGACUGGGGCUAAGUCGUAACAAGGUAGC